rnacentral:rRNA from 1 species
AGAGUUUGAUCAUGGCUCAGAUUGAACGCUGGCGGCAGGCCUAACACAUGCAAGUCGAACGGUAACAGGAAACAGCUUGCUGUUUCGCUGACGAGUGGCGGACGGGUGAGUAAUGUCUGGGAAACUGCCUGAUGGAGGGGGAUAACUACUGGAAACGGUAGCUAAUACCGCAUAACGUCGCAAGACCAAAGAGGGGGACCUUCGGGCCUCUUGCCAUCGGAUGUGCCCAGAUGGGAUUAGCUUGUUGGUGGGGUAACGGCUCACCAAGGCGACGAUCCCUAGCUGGUCUGAGAGGAUGACCAGCCACACUGGAACUGAGACACGGUCCAGACUCCUACGGGAGGCAGCAGUGGGGAAUAUUGCACAAUGGGCGCAAGCCUGAUGCAGCCAUGCCGCGUGUAUGAAGAAGGCCUUCGGGUUGUAAAGUACUUUCAGCGGGGAGGAAGGGAGUAAAGUUAAUACCUUUGCUCAUUGACGUUACCCGCAGAAGAAGCACCGGCUAACUCCGUGCCAGCAGCCGCGGUAAUACGGAGGGUGCAAGCGUUAAUCGGAAUUACUGGGCGUAAAGCGCACGCAGGCGGUUUGUUAAGUCAGAUGUGAAAUCCCGGGCUCAACCUGGGAACUGCAUCUGAUACUGGCAAGCUUGAGUCUCGUAGAGGGGGGUAGAAUUCCAGGUGUAGCGGUGAAAUGCGUAGAGAUCUGGAGGAAUACCGGUGGCGAAGGCGGCCCCCUGGACGAAGACUGACGCUCAGGUGCGAAAGCGUGGGGAGCAAACAGGAUUAGAUACCCUGGUAGUCCACGCCGUAAACGAUGUCGACUUGGAGGUUGUGCCCUUGAGGCGUGGCUUCCGGAGCUAACGCGUUAAGUCGACCGCCUGGGGAGUACGGCCGCAAGGUUAAAACUCAAAUGAAUUGACGGGGGCCCGCACAAGCGGUGGAGCAUGUGGUUUAAUUCGAUGCAACGCGAAGAACCUUACCUGGUCUUGACAUCCACAGAACUUUCCAGAGAUGGAUUGGUGCCUUCGGGAACUGUGAGACAGGUGCUGCAUGGCUGUCGUCAGCUCGUGUUGUGAAAUGUUGGGUUAAGUCCCGCAACGAGCGCAACCCUUAUCCUUUGUUGCCAGCGGUCCGGCCGGGAACUCAAAGGAGACUGCCAGUGAUAAACUGGAGGAAGGUGGGGAUGACGUCAAGUCAUCAUGGCCCUUACGACCAGGGCUACACACGUGCUACAAUGGCGCAUACAAAGAGAAGCGACCUCGCGAGAGCAAGCGGACCUCAUAAAGUGCGUCGUAGUCCGGAUUGGAGUCUGCAACUCGACUCCAUGAAGUCGGAAUCGCUAGUAAUCGUGGAUCAGAAUGCCACGGUGAAUACGUUCCCGGGCCUUGUACACACCGCCCGUCACACCAUGGGAGUGGGUUGCAAAAGAAGUAGGUAGCUUAACCUUCGGGAGGGCGCUUACCACUUUGUGAUUCAUGACUGGGGUGAAGUCGUAACAAGGUAACCGUAGGGGAACCUGCGGUUG